GACGAACGCUGGCGGCGUGCCUAAUACAUGCAAGUAGAACGCUGAAGAGAGGAGCUUGCUCUUCUUGGAUGAGUUGCGAACGGGUGAGUAACGCGUAGGUAACCUGCCUUGUAGCGGGGGAUAACUAUUGGAAACGAUAGCUAAUACCGCAUAACAAUGGAUGACACAUGUCAUUUAUUUGAAAGGGGCAAUUGCUCCACUACAAGAUGGACCUGCGUUGUAUUAGCUAGUAGGUGAGGUAAUGGCUCACCUAGGCGACGAUACAUAGCCGACCUGAGAGGGUGAUCGGCCACACUGGGACUGAGACACGGCCCAGACUCCUACGGGAGGCAGCAGUAGGGAAUCUUCGGCAAUGGGGGCAACCCUGACCGAGCAACGCCGCGUGAGUGAAGAAGGUUUUCGGAGCGUAAAGCUCUGUUGUAAGUCAAGAACGGGUGUGAGAGUGGAAAGUUCACACUGUGACGGUAGCUUACCAGAAAGGGACGGCUAACUACGUG
rnacentral:rRNA from 1 species